GAGCCCUGGUGGCGCAGUGGUUAAAUGCCUGUACUCAUAGACCACAAGGUUGCGAGUUCAAUACUAGCAGGGCUCA
rnacentral:tRNA from 1 species